UAAACACGAUUAGUCCCCCAGAGUCACGAGCAGUUGAAGUUCGCACUGAAAAGGAAGCGCACGAAACUUUUACCCUGUUUACUCUCGAGUAAUAAACUGGUGCGCUUCGACGCAGAUUUACCACUGUUGGUGUUUCUGUGUUUUAUUCCGACAGACCGUGUAAUAUUCCUGUUUACAAUUACCGUGGUCCUGCGACUCUUUCAUACCGGCGACGGGUAAAGAGAAUCAACACGUGAAAUAUUUUCUGUGAUAGGCUCCGGGCCACUGUGACCCUGACUUGGAGAAGCGGAUUCUUGUCGAGCGAGAACAAGAACUGCAGUAAAUUGCAUGUGCUGUAGGUGGAGCUCAAAUCCAAAAGGUUGAAGAAUGAACUGUUACAACUGAACAUGGUUGCAAAGGAUUAAAACAGCUUUAUUUAAGAUAUUAUUACUGAACUAAGAUUUAUGGGCACUUGAUAUUUUCCCCAGUGGAUUUGGAUAUGAUGUUCUACCAAACGAUAUGUGCAGUGUUUCUUCUGCUUUUAAAAUCUGACUUAUGUCCUCCAUGUGAUCGGGCUGAAUAUGAAAAAAAUGGAGAGUGUUGUCCCAUGUGUCCACCUGGAACCCGAGUUCACAGACACUGUACAGCGUACACCAGUACUACAUGUGUCCCAUGUAUUGGAGACACUUUCACCGACAAACCAAAUGGUCUGAUUUCCUGCUUUCCCUGUACAGUGUGUCAAAAAGGUCUUGGUGUGAAGACAGUAAAGGAGUGUACAGCCUCUUCAGACACAGUGUGUGGAGUCCUGGAAGGGAACUAUUGUAUUGAUCCUUAUGGGGGAGGAUGUAGAGCAGCACAGAAACACACAACCUGCAAACCUGGACACUUCAUCAAACACCCUGGAACAGACUCUACUGACACCGUGUGUGAAAUCUGCCCUGAAAACUCUUUCUCAGAUGGAUCUUCUACCUCCUGUACAUCACACACAGACUGUCAAUCCAAAGGACUUCCCACAGUGAAACCAGGAGACAGUGUGUCUGAUUCUCAGUGUGGAGAGAAGAAUUGGGCUCCUCUGAUAGUUGGGAUUGUACUUGGAAUAAUUUUAGUGUUAUUACUCGUUGGAGGAGUAAAACUGUACAAAUCACGGGUCUGUCCAAAGAAAAACAACUCCAGCAAACCAGGGCCCUUACAACAAGAUCAGGAAUGCCAACUGCAGCAAUCAGAAGAAAGUGAAGUUGUUCAGAAACAAAUUCCUGCUCAGAUUCUCAUAAAUUGUUAAACAAACCAAUAAACAAUAUUUUGCACAGAAUUAAAUACCUCACCUCAGCCUGUUGAGCAGAGAUCAGACAGUGAAGAUGUGACAGCUGGUGUUUUCGAAGCAGAAUGAGAAGGCUGUUAAGCCCAUGAAAUAUCAUCCACUGACUCAUGACCCAUAACCACUUAUCCGAAGAGUUUUAGAAGAAUUUCACAACAGAUGAAUCAUUGGAUAGAACAUUGAAGACAAGAAGUACAAUGAGAAAACUGGGACUAAUUCCUGUAAAACGGAUCCAUUGACUUUUCUGGAUAAACAGCAGUGCCAAAUGAAGAAUCCUGUUCUGUUUUCUUUCCCUUGAGCAAGUUUCAUCUGUACGAGUGGAAAGGGUCACCAACCUUUAUCUAUCAGCUUCCCACGUGGCAGAUGCCCUCAAGACAAGCAGAGCCGCUCUUCUACAGUAACUCUGAUUAAUAUGAUUAAUACUAAAUAAAAUCUAAACCUGACUGUCUCGACUGUGUUUCCCCCGCACUUUACACACCUUCCAUUUGACAAAACUGAACCCAGAGCUCUGAAUGCCGUGACAAACUGACAGCAAAGAAGACCAACUCUGCGAUGACAUCACAAGCCCAACCCUUUCUUCUAACUGACAAAUAACAUUCAUGUUUGUUUACCAGACAUUUGUUGGCCUACAUUUUGGUGAAUGAUAAACUGUCGAAUAAUUCUAUAG